AGGUAACGGCUCACCAAGGCGACGACGGGUAGCCGGCCUGAGAGGCGACCGGCCACACUGGGACUGAGACACGGCCCAGACUCCUACGGGAGGCAGCAGUGGGGAAUAUUGCACAAUGGGCGCAAGCCUGAUGCAGCGACGCCGCGUGAGGGAUGACGGCCUUCGGGUUGUAAACCUCUUUCAGCAGGGAAGAAGCGCAAGUGACGGUACCUGCAGAAGAAGCGCCGGCUAACUACGUGCCAGCAGCCGCGGUAAUACGUAGGGCGCGAGCGUUGUCCGGAAUUAUUGGGCGUAAAGAGCUCGUAGGCGGUUUGUCACGUCGUCUGUGAAAUCCUAGGGCUUAACCCUGGACGUGCAGGCGAUACGGGCUGACUUGAGUACUACAGGGGAGACUGGAAUUUCUGGUGUAGCGGUGGAAUGCACAGAUAUCAGGAAGAGCACCGAUGGCGAAGGCAGGUCUCUGGGUAGUAACUGACGCUGAGGAGCGAAAGCAUGGGUAGCGAACAGGAUUAGAUACCCUGGUAGUCCAUGCCGUAAACGGUGGGCGCUA
rnacentral:rRNA from 1 species